AAAUGGCGCCGUGCCGCCCGCGGAGGCGUCCGAGGGUGCGUCUCGGCCCUGAGCGAGGACCGCCGGCGGCCGCUGUCACCCGGCGCGAGGGAAAGGCAAGAUGAGCUGCGCCUCAGGGUAGCUGGAUUUGAGAAAGAAAAUAGUCCAACAACUCACACUAGGAGAAUAGAGCUAAAUUGUCUGUCGGGGGAAUAGGAAGACUGAAAACAGCCAAAUGGUUUUCUUCCGGAGAUGAGGAAACUUGUUAGUUUCCACUUAUGAAACAAUCUACUUCCUGGUCACUGCGGUAUCUUUCCUGUGCAUUUCUUCCUAUUAGAACUUUUAUUGUAAGCAAGAGGUCUUUUGAAAGCCUGGUGCAAAGGCAUUGUUAUUUGCUUCGUCUUCUGGAAAAUUGUGUCAUUUUAAGUUUUAAGAUCAUAUUUGACUUCCUGUGCCAAAAUCACACUGCUGACUUGAUUGUCAUUUGAUCAAUUAUUAUCCCAGUGUCUGUCUUCCCAUUGUCAGUUUCCAGCUCAACCUUUUGGCUAAUUGCAGAAAUUAUUCCUAAAUGAAUGACCUUGCCAUUAGAAUUUUCAAUUUCAUUUUUCUCCCCCCAGCAGCCUUUUGAGUUUGUUAUGGAAAGGUUGCUGUACAUGUCAGGAAAGAUGUACUACAGAGAGAACAGAUUUGGCCAUAAAAUCUCUGUAUAUACAAGAAAUUCUGGUAAAGUUUAUGGGAACAGUGGAUAAUUCUGAUUUUGUGUGUGCAGAACGUAUAGAAUGGGAAUUUUUGUCUUGAGGCUACCAUCAAGAUGGCAACUUGUUUAACAUGCCUUUCUAGCUACCUUUCAUUGUGCAUGUUCUUCAAUCAUUUUUGAAAUGCCAAAUUAAUAUUUGAUGUGCCUGUUAUAAUUUGGCAAGGUAGGUCACCAACAAUAGACAUUAUCUGUUUGUACAAAGCAGGCACUAAGCCAUAUUGCUUCCAACGCUGAACAUAAAAUCACUCCAGAUAACCACAUAAGUAACCUUUCAAAAUAAAAUUUCUUAUCCAUGAUCUUACAGUUGACAAGUACAGACUGUAAAAAUUGCAAGAGAGGAAUCCAGAUGGUAGGGUAGUAUGGAAAAGGUCUGUCACUCAUGUAACAAGCUAUAGAGACCAAAAAUAUUCUUAAUCUGCUUAUAGGACUGGCUGAUAACUGGGAAGAUGAAGCUGGUAACAAAAGAAACAUAAUGAGAAAAUGAUCUGCUCAGUGUGUAAUUAAUACUAGCAUCUGUCACCUUCUCACAAACGCUGCACUAAUCAGAGGAUUUUGUCAUGUUAGUAAAAUGUUUAGAAACUUAACCUGUAAAAUAAUGGAAUCAGAUGUAUAUAAAAUUUGUGGUGUUUUGUGCAGUAUUCUAUACAUGAUCUGCUUGUAUAGUGGGAUAGCUGAAUUUUAUUGAAUGUGUGAUUGCAGAAUUGUAUGUAUGGUCAGACAUCACCAGCUAGACUCUGUAACAAAUACAUACAUGGCAUGUGGAUGUGCAAAUAGUGUAAGUAACACUAGGCAAACAAUUCUGACGACUGUUCUUGUUCUUUACCCAUCAUUGCUUCUUUUGUCUGUUGUUCAUUUCUGCAUCUUAACUCGGUUUUUGAUUAAAUCAAUGCAUUCUGAGCACAACGUAUUAUUUUGAAUGCUGUGAGUAGCACAAUAUUUUCUUAAAGUAACAAUCUUGUAAUUAAUUGUUUUCUGGAACUUUUAGUGCUAAAUAGAAAUUCCGAACCUGCAGCACUUAAUCUCAAAAGCCAUUUAAAACUGAUAUUCAAUAAACAAUGUUAAUAAAGAUUAGAAAAAUAAAAAUUAAAAAAUAGCAUCGUCAAUGACAUUUCAUAUUGCUGUUCUACCUUGAGCUUGUUGAGCUUGUUGGUAAAUCUUAAUGCUGACACUUGGUGUAUAAUCUGUUUGAUUAACAGAAGAUGUCACUUUGAAGUGCUUAAGCAAAAUGGAUUGGUGGGGAAAAAAAAAUAAAAAUGUUUGGUAUAAUAUGAAAUUAAUUAUAGAUUAAUUACUGUAGUAACUUUUUUUUUCCCCAAGAUUAAUCUGAUCUUUAAGUAAAGAUCUGUAAAAGCUGAACCUUUUUCAAAGUCUUACAAUUUUGUUUGCGUUUCAAUCCUGUAGGAUGCUGCAACAGUUAUUGCCUAUCCAGACCACUUCUGUUCUCUUCCUUGACAUUUAAAACUGAAGAUUUGAGUUCUUAAUGAACCAAAGCAAGUGCACAAAUUUAUCUUCAGGGGCAUUUAAACAAAAUAGUUAUGUUAUGAGUUAUUUGUAUAGAGGAUGUAAUUUGCAUAAAAUUAUCAACUUCUUGUCUUAAAUUAGAGUAGUUUGGAGCACGGCUCCUUCAUGUCAGGAGAAGGAAGCCAUUUUGUGUCAGCUCAGGAAGUUCUCCAUUCUGCUGAUGAAGCAUAUUUUCAAAAUAAUUGAACACUUUCAAUGGGUUCAUGCAGUGCUAAGGAACGAUUACCUGGGAAUGUUUGUAAAACAUAAAAUACAUCAAGAAAUCUCCUUCCCAUUUUCACUGUCUUUAAUUCAGAUAUCUAAAUAAACAGUAGAACUGCUUGAAAACUGGAAACUGUUCGUUUAGGGAAGUCAUGGUUUGUUGGGAAAACACAGAUAUUGCUACUGGAUGUUUUUGUCCAAAACUAAAAUGAUUUAGUUAUGAUUAGCAGUGUUGUUGGCUACUGAUUUAGCUAUGUUGUGAUGUGUUGCAGUUUGGAUGCCUGUUAUUAAUAUACUACUUCUAUAAUGUGCCAUCUCUGGCUGUACACAAUUGUUUGAUCUUAUUCAUACCAUUUUGAGAAAGAUUUGGGAAUUCUUUAGUCAUGCUGCAGUGUUAAGGACUUAAUGCAGAAUAGGAAUUCAACUGAUACAGGAAAACUGGGACUGAAAUUCAGUUUGUGAUAUGUUGCAGUUUAGGGCUUCCCUUACUGAUUAAUCAAGGAUUUCCUGUGGAGGCAUUAUAUGCAGUGGUGCAAGUACUUUUCUUUCUAAACUACUCAAAUUUCUGUUGUUUUCUUUUGUUUCUUUUUUCCCUUCCACAGAUGUUACUGAAUGCCAGCCUUGUGAGAAAUUCAUGUAUGAAUUUAAAAUUAGUGAUAUGACCUUAAUUUGCACCAGGGUAAGUUUAGGUUGGAUA